UACGUAGGCAGCAAGCGUUGUUCGGAGUUACUGGGCGUAAAGGGUGCGUAGGCGGCUUCUUAAGUCUGGUGUGAAAUCUCCCGGCUCAACUGGGAGGGUGCGCCGGAUACUGAGGGGCUAGAGUGUGGGAGAGGAAAGUGGAAUUCCUGGUGUAGCGGUGAAAUGCGUAGAUAUCAGGAGGAACACCGGUGGUGUAGACGGCUUUCUGGACCGUAACUGACGCUGAGACACGAAAGCGUGGGUAGCAAACAGG
rnacentral:rRNA from 1 species